ensembl:ncRNA Y57E12B.9 ncRNA
GAUGGAAAUGGGAAGAUGAAGCCUUGGUGGGCGAGAUCAAAUCGGCAAAAGCCAGGAGCAGCUUGUUUGUUUUCUAAGUGAGAUCACUAUCAAGCUGCGCUCUCAUAGUACACUGCACUCUCUUGCAGAUUCGAUUUGCUCAGAUUCC